rnacentral:rRNA from 1 species
ACCUCCCACCCGUGUUUAUCGUACCUUGUUGCUUCGGCGGGCCCGCCUCACGGCCGCCGGGGGGCAUCUGCCCCCGGGCCCGCGCCCGCCGAAGACACCCACGAACUCUGUCUGAAGAUUGUAGUCUGAGUGGAAUUAUAAAUUAUUUAAAACUUUCAACAACGGAUCUCUUGGUUCCGGCAUCGAUGAAGAACGCAGCGAAAUGCGAUACGUAAUGUGAAUUGCAGAAUUCAGUGAAUCAUCGAGUCUUUGAACGCACAUUGCGCCCUCUGGUAUUCCGGAGGGCAUGCCUGUCCGAGCGUCAUUGCUGCCCUCAAGCACGGCUUGUGUGUUGGGCCCCGUCCUCCGCUCCCGGGGGACGGGCCCGAAAGGCAGCGGCGGCACCGCGUCCGGUCCUCGAGCGUAUGGGGCUUUGUCACCCGCUCUGUAGGCCCGGCCGGCGCUUGCCGAUCAACCAAACUUUUUUCCAGGUUGACCUCGGAUCAGGUAGGGAUACCCGCUGAACUUAAGCAUAUCAAUAAGCGGAGGAA